UCAAAUAAUUUUGAGCUCUGAACCGACUCUAAAUAGUUCGGGUUAUAGGGGCGGGAAAUAUCGGUGCCAGCCGCCGCGGUAAUACCGAAGCCCCAAGUGGUCGUCGUUAUUAUUGGGCCUAAAACGUCCGUAGCCGGUUUGGUACAUUCGUGGGUAAAUCAGACAGCUUAACUGUUUGAAUUCUGCGAGGACGGCCAGACUGNAGACCGGGAGAGGUGUAGGGUACCUGCGGGGUAGGGGUAAAAUCCUGUCAUCCCGUAGGGACCACCUGUUGCGAAGGCGCUACACUAGAACGGAUCUGACGGUCACGGACGAAGCCUAGGGGCACGAACCGGAUUAGAUACCCGGGUAGUCCUAGGUGUAAACGCUGUGGACUUGGUGUCGGGGAUCUCUAGAGGAUUCUCGGUGCCGUAGUGAAGAUGUUUAGUCCACUGCCUGGGGAGUACGGUCGCAAGGCUGAAACUUAAAGGAAUUGGCGGGGGAGCACUGCAACGAGAGGAGCGUGCGGUUUAAUUGGAUUCAACGCCGGAAAACUCACCAAAGCCGACUGUUAGAUGAAGACCAGCGUAAUGAGCUUGUCGGAUUUUCAGAGAGGUAGUGCAUGGCCGUCGUCAGUUCGUACCGUAAGGCGUUCUGUUAAGUCAGAUAACGAACGAGACCCCCAUCGUCAUUUGCUAACCCUUUCUCCGGAAGGGGCGCACUAUGGCGAGGUCGCUGGCGUGAAGUCAGAUGAGAGCGGGGGCAACGGUAGGUCAGUAUGCUCCGAAUGCUUUGGGCUACACGCGCGCUACAAAGGACGGGACAAUGGGCUGCAACACCGAGAGGUGACGCUAUCCCGAAACCCGUUCGUAGUUCGGAUCGUGGGCUGUAACUCGCCCUCGUGAAGCUGGAUUUCGUAGUAAUCGCGUCUCAAAAUGGCGCGGUGAAUAUGCCCCUGCUCCUUGCACACACCGCCCGUCAAACCAUCUUAGUUUGGGGUGGGUGAGGCUACCUUUUAUUGGGGUAUUCGAG
rnacentral:rRNA from 1 species